rnacentral:misc_RNA from 1 species
GAAAUGCGAUAAGUAGUGUGAAUUGCAGAAUUCAGUGAAUCAUCGAAUCUUUGAACGCACAUUGCGCCCUUUGUUAUUCCUUAGGGCAUGCCUGUUCGAGCGUCAUCUAAACCUUCAAGCCCUGCUUGGUGUUGGGUGCCUGUCCCGCCUCCGCGCGCGGACUCACCUCAAAUCCAUUGGCGGCCCCCGCGUCGGCCACGAGCGCAGCAGAAACGCGAACUCGUGAGCCCGUCCGGGCGGCUCCCAGAAGCUACACCCACCCAGUUUGACCUCGGAUCAGGUAGGGAUACCCGCUGAACUUAAGC